ACAGCAGUCGCCACGGGAAUACGAAGGGGGCUAGCGUUGUUCGGAAUUACUGGGCGUAAAGGGCGCGUAGGCGGCCAUUCAAGUUAGAUGUGAAAGCCCUGGGCUCAACCUAGGAAUUGCAUUUGAUACUGUUUGGCUUGAGUUCGGGAGAGGUGAGUGGAAUUCCCAGUGUAGAGGUGAAAUUCGUAGAUAUUGGGAAGAACACCAGUGGCGAAGGCGGCUCACUGGACCGACACUGACGCUGAGGCGCGAAAGCGUGGGGAGCAAACAGGAUUAGAUACCCCAGUAGUCCCUGUCUCUUAUAC
rnacentral:rRNA from 1 species